CAAAAGUUUGGUCCUGAUUUUUCUACCAACUUUAGCUAAAUUUACACAUGCAAGUAUCCGCACCCCUGUGAGAAUGCCCUACAGUUCCCUGCUUGGGAACAAGGAGCUGGUAUCAGGCUCAACCCACACACCAAGCCCACGACACCUUGCUCAGCCACACCCUCAAGGGAACUCAGCAGUGAUAGACAUUAAGCCAUAAGUGAAAACUUGACUUAGUUAAAAGCUAAGAGGGUCGGUAAAACUCGUGCCAGCCACCGCGGUUAUACGAAGGACCCAAGUUGUUAGAUGCCGGCGUAAAGAGUGGUUAAGAUUUACCCCAAAACUAAAGCCGAACGCCCUCAGAGCUGUUAUACGCUUCCGAAGGUAAGAAGCCCAACCACGAAGGUGGCUUUACAUUGUCCGACUCCACGAAAGCUACGAUACAAACUGGGAUUAGAUACCCCACUAUGCCUAGCCAUAAACAUUGAUAGUAAACUACACAUACUAUCCGCCCGGGAACUACGAGCAUUAGCUUGAAACCCAAAGGACUUGGCGGUGCUUUAGAUCCACCUAGAGGAGCCUGUUCUAGAACCGAUUACCCCCGUUCAACCUCACCUUUCCUUGUUUCCCCCGCCUAUAUACCACCGUCGUCAGCUUACCCUGUGAGGGACUCAUAGUAAGCAAAAUUGGCAUAGCCCAAAACGUCAGGUCGAGGUGUAGCGUAUGGGAAGGGAAGAAAUGGGCUACAUUCUCUAACACAGAGAAUACGAAUGAUAUACUGAAACACAUAUCUGAAGGAGGAUUUAGCAGUAAGCAAAAAAUAGAGCGUCUUGCUGAAACUGGCCCUGAAGCGCGCACACACCGCCCGUCACUCUCCCCAAGCUUAUUAACCCUUAAUACCUUAAAACCCUAAAACUGCAAAGGGGAGGCAAGUCGUAACAUGGUAAGCGUACCGGAAGGUGCCCUUGGAAAAA
rnacentral:ncRNA from 1 species